GACGAACGCUGGCGGCGUGCUUAACACAUGCAAGUCGAACGAAGUGGCGAACGGGUGAGUAAUAUGUGGGAAACCUGCCCUCCUUGGUGGGAAAAGCCUUGGAAACGGGGUCAAAUACCGAAUAAAGGGGGCUGGGCUCGUGGCCUAUCAGCUUGGUGGUGGGGUGAUGGCCUACCAAGGCUGCGUCUGGUAGCGGGCCUGAGAGGGUGAACGGGAACAUUGGGACGGGGGUACGGCCCAGGCUCCGACGGGAGGGAGAAGUGGGCGAUAUUGCAGAAUGGGUGAAAGCGUGAUGCAGCGACGCCGCGUGGGGGCUGAGGGCUUUCGGGUUGUAAACCUGAUUCGCAAUCGAACGGGUAGGUGGAGAAGAAGCGCCGGCUAACUACGUGCCAGCAGCCGCGGUAAUAC
rnacentral:rRNA from 1 species